rnacentral:rRNA from 1 species
CCUACGGGUGGCAGCAGUGAGGAAUAUUGGUCAAUGGGCGCGAGCCUGAACCAGCCAAGUAGCGUGAAGGAUGACUGCCCUACGGGUUGUAAACCUCUUUUAUAAAGGAAUAAAGUGCGGCACGUGUGCCUUUUUGUGUGUACUUUAUGAAUAAGCAUCGGCUAACUCCGUGCCAGCAGCCGCGGUAAUACGGAGGAUCCGAGCGUUAUCCGGAUUUAUUGGGUUUAAAGGGAGCGGAGAUGGGUUGUUAAGUCAGUUGGGAAAGUUUGCGGCUCAACCGUAAAAUUGCAAUUGAAACUGGCAGUCUUGAGUACAGGUGAGGUAGGCGGAAUUCGUGGUGUAGCGGUGAAAUGCUUAGAUAUCACGAAGAACUCCGAUUGCGAAGGCAGCUUACUAAACUGCCACUGACAUUGAUGCUCGAAAGUGUGGGUAUCAAACAGGAUUAGAUACCCGAGUAGUC